rnacentral:rRNA from 1 species
CUUUAGUAAUUGCGAAUGAACAAGGAUAUGCUUAGCUUGACAAAUGGAGCUAUUGGCUUUGAAUUGUAUUGUGGAAAUGUAUUACCAACAGAGGUGCAGGUGCCAGCCUAUUGAAAUAAAGCGUCAAUGAGGGUGAGAAUCCUGUUUGUCAUGUGCAGCCCUUUGUGCACGGUGUAUAUUUGCUGAGUCACACUCCUUGGCAUUGGAAUGCAAAGUGGGUGGUAAGUUUCAUGUAAAGGUAAACAUGCAAUUGAGACUGAUAGCACACAAGUACCAUGAGGGAAAUAUGAAAAGGACUUUGAAAAGAGAAUUAAAUGAGUUUGUAUUUGCUGAACACAAAGUAAACAGACUUGAUUUGCUUGGUGGGAGUGUUGCACUUGCUUGACAAGAGCUUUGGGCUGUGGGUGUAAUGAUUCUUUCUUUGCAUGCCAGUUUCUAUUUGUACAUCUGAUUACCUUUGCACAUGAAUGAUAAGUCUCCUGUGGGGGGUGGAUUGCAUGUGCAUGUAAUGAUUUGUGUUUUGAUAAAUGUGUCUGGUGUAUGUGUGUGUUCCUGUGCUUGGGGAUGCUUCCUUCCUUGGACUUACAAGCCCUGACACACACAUGCUGGCAAAAUGCUUCUGCUUGACCCGUCUUGAAACACGGACCAAGGAGUCUAACAGAUGUGCAAAGUUUGAAGGUGGUAUACCUUUGUGUGCAAUGAAAGUGUCAGCUGGGAUAUGUGCACCAGCACCCAAUUAAUUAGCGGACAGAGGUUUGAGUUGGAGCAUAUCUAUUAGGACCCGAAAGAUGGUGAACUAUGCCUGAACAGAAUGAAUUCAGAGGAAACUCUGAUGGAGGUUCGUAUCGAUACUGACGUGCAAAUCGUUCGUCAUAUUUGGGUAUAGGGGCGAAAGACUAAUCGAACCAUCUAGUAGCUGGUUCCCUCCGAAGUUUCCCUCAGGAUAGCUGGAGUUGCUCAGUUUUAUCAGGUAAAGCGAAUGAUUAGAGGAAUUGGGGACAGGUUUGUCUUUGACCUAUUCUCAAACUUUAAAUGGGUAAUAUGUAGUGGUUGCUGUAUGGAACUUCUAAGAUAAAUGGCAAUAUUGGGUGGGCCAUUUUUGGUAAGCAGAACUGGCGAUGAGGGAUGAACCUAAUGUGGGGCUAAGGUGCUUAAUUACUUGCUCAUUUGAUACCAGAAAGGGUGUUGGUUCAUUUUAACAGCAGGACGGUGGUC